UCCCGUAAUUUCUUUGAGUUUUAAUCUUGCGACCGUACUCCCCAGGCGGUCAACUUCACGCGUUAGCUACGUUACUAAGGAAAUGAAUCCCCAACAACUAGUUGACAUCGUUUAGGGCGGGGACUACCAGGGUAUCUAAUCCUGUUUGCUCCCCACGCUUUCGUGCAUGAGCGUCAGUGUUGGCCCAGGGGGCUGCCUUCGCCAUUGGUGUUCCUCCGCAUAUCUACGCAUUUCACUGCUACACGCGAAAUUCCACCCCCCUCUGCCAGACUCUAGCUUGCCAGUCACAAAUGCAGUUCCCAGGUUGAGCCCGGGGAUUUCACAUCUGUCUUAACAAACCGCCUGCGCACGCUCUACGCCCAGUAAUUCCGAUUAACGCUUGCACCCUACGUAUUACCGCGGCUGCUGGCACA
rnacentral:rRNA from 1 species